UUUUUAUUGGAUGAUGACUGUCACGUGUCAUGUUCUGAUUGGAUGUUAAUUCCAUGAAAGAUGAAAAUACAUUGUUGUUUUCAUUGACCAAUCAGAACAUGACACGUGACAACCAUCAUCC
rfam:Glycine soja cultivar W05 scaffold2493_6, whole genome shotgun sequence.